UUAAACGAGAAUCGGCGUCAUAUUAGCCUGACGUUGACGUUGUUCCUAAGCGACGUUUUAUUGACGCCAAACACUGACGAGCGAUUACAGCUACCUAAGCGAAUUUCGAGCGAUAUUUAGUGAUUUAUACGAGAUAUGGAGGCAGUAUUUAUUCCAAAAGUUUCUAUCCUGACUAAAAAUUCAGGAAUAUUUUCAAACUUUGCGAAGUUUUGCACAAUUACGGGAUACGUUCCAAGUACAGUUCCUAUUUACCAGACAGAUCCAGUUAAACAUGGUACUCGCCAUUACAAGGUUUUUCAAAUGUUCAAAUACAUCAAUGUAAGCCCCUGAUUUGCUCUUCUUUUGCAUCACUAACAGACUAACCAAAUUACUGCGUACACUGAGAAACUCUGUACUUAGACCAUCCAGGGCAGGGUAUGACAUCAUUAGCACUGAUGAAGACAUAGAUACAUUGUUUUCAACUGAGACACAACAAGUUUUGAAAGAACGCAAGAAAGCACUGGUCCACCUUGUAAAGAAACAUGAAUCAGCAUGCUAGCAUUGAGAGAAGCUAGAAUGGUAAGUAAUAAGUACAUGAAUAUAAUUAAAUAUAUGUAACUACAAAGAUAAAUAUACAAUAAAAACAAGUAUAUGGAAACAUAUAAAAAUAAAUUUAAACCAUAUCUGAAAGUAAAAACAGUUGAUAUAAUAAUAUUACAACCUUAGAUCACAUUUGAAGUUUACUAAACAGGUAAUAAGAAUCAGGUUUACUAAACAGAUGCCAAGAACCACACGCAUGUAUUAAAUAAGGAUACAGGAGUUAAACGCGAAAAUACGUUACAGCGUUCAUCAAAUCACUUUGAUGAAAAUAUCACUCGUCAUUCAGCAACAGAACUGUUGGAAGUCAAAGGCAAAAAUACAAAAGUAUGAGUUGAUUUUAGAAACUCAAAGAUCCGCCUUGCAUUACAACCAAGACGAGAAAGAAUUUAGAACAGCGGCCAUUAAGAUACGGAAGAUAUGCUAGAAAAAUGGAUGGUCACUCAUGAGAAAGAUCAUAUUGCCUUUGAGAAAAAGUUUUUAGAAGAAAUUAAGUACAGAGAAAAAAUACUUAAAAUCUCUAAAGACCUUCAAUGAGAUACAGAAGGAAUGUUGGAAGAUACCAUCCGAACUCUGACGUACAAAAACAGACAAAAUAUAACUGACACAGAGAUACACAAGAUAUCAAAAACAAGUGUACAAUCAGACAUGCCGUAGAUACAAGUUUGAGAUAACCAUGAACAUACCAUGCCAGAAAGAAUGGAUUGAACCACAAUAUGAGACCAGCGUCAUUAAAAAUCAAGACAAUAAGAUUAAAAAAUCAAGACAUUAAGAGAAAGAUAAAGAAAUCCAGCAAGAAAACAGACUGAAGAGCGGUUGAAAAUUUUGAUUCCUUAAAAAAAUUAACAGAGUAAUAGAUCUAGUCUUAAUAUAUUCUUUUCAACCGGA